ACACGGGAAAGGAGGUGAUCCGAGGAAUGAAUUCUUCUUGGACGCGUGAGGUGGCUGCUCGCUAGCAGCCCCAGCAGGGACGUCGGGGUCGAGUGACCCCGCCCGCUGCUGGCGAAAUCCCAAGCAGCUACCCGACCCGCAGACGACCGGGACCACGUCCCCCGGUGCGGCACUCCUCCUGAGUCGCCACGUCUGCGGGUCGCUGCAU
rnacentral:sRNA from 1 species